ACUGCAUGGGUCCGCUUAUACUGUGGAUAUUUUUUCAAUAAAUGCCUGUAUUAUUUUUGAUCCGCGGUUGGGAGUCCGUGGAUGCAGAGGGCCAACUGUAUGUAUUGAUCCAUGCUAUUUUAGUAUCCACAGAGGGUUCUAGAACCACUCCCUCACAGAUACGGAGUAGUUAAGUACUUCUGGCAUCAAAAGUUAUACAUGGAUUUUCGAUUGCUCAGAGUUCAGUACCCCUAAACUCCUGCAUUGUUCAGGGUUCAACUGUAGUUAUUCUAGAGAUAUUUUGAAAUGUGGUUGGUAAACUAAGUAUUGCUAUACUCGUAUCAUCACCAGUUAACAAAAAAGUUAUUAUUUUUCAGGUUUAAUUUAUCUUUGAUAAAUAGUAGUAAAGCCUCAGGGAUAUUAUAAACAAAGCUCUAAAUAUGACUAGGCCCCUCUUCCUAUUCUACAUUGUGAGGAAAAUAUAAGAAAGUGUAUCCUCAUUCUCUGUUUGUGUAGUCUAAGGAAAAAUUAUUCUGCUGUUAAAUAUUUUUAAAAAUACCCUUACUUUCCUGUUUUCCCCAAAUCAAAAAUAAUCGUUUUUAAUUAUAAUUGCUGGAUGUUAGAGCUAUGUGGUUGAAAGGCUACCAAGUGAAAUAUUUUACUUAAGAAAGGUCAUUGCUUUGGUAUCUUUUAGAAUUGGAAAUUUAUUGUAUACUUUUGUCUUGAGAGUUGCUUAAGUACUGUCAUGUCAGAGAGCAAGAAGAAGGAUUAAGCAUGACUUUCUGAUUUCAUGCUGUAUUCAUGUGUGAUUUAUCUAUUUAUUUAGGUACCCAAAGGCUUGCCUUACUUCUCUGUGGAUUUUGGCCUCCAGGGAGGGUUUGCCCAUGUCAUUGAAGAUCAACACAAAUUUCCUCGUUACUUUGGAAAGGAAAUCAUUGGUGGGAUGCUGGAUAUAGAACCAAGACUUUGGAGGAAGGGAAUCCGGGAAAGCUUUGAGGAUCAGAGGAAGAAAGCACUGCAGUUUGCUCAGUGGUGGAAACCAUUUGACUUUACCAAAAGUAAAAAAUGUUGAGUCAUA